CACGGCUUCUCAUCCGUGUCAUUCAAAAACCCUAAUUCUAUCAAACACAAAAACUCUCAUCCAGGUAUCUUUAUCAUCUUCAACAUGCUUUCAGAUCUUGAAGAUCCAUCCAAUUCUCCUUUUCCUUCGUUCAUCCCUUUUCAUUAUCAUCGAUUUUCUUUUGUCUUCCCCUUUCAUAAUCCUCUGUAAACCCUAGAGGAGUCUACACCAGUUCUUCGAGGUUACUGAUUCAAUCUGAUGGAAUGAUGGAUCUUUAUUCAGGCAUUUGGAGAGAGGGAAAUGGUCGAUAUAUGGCAAUAAGAGAGAGGGAGUGAGUGUUAGAGAUAGAGACGGUGGUGGCUGUUGUUGCGACACCACUCGCCACCGGCGACGAGGAUGACCAUCGGUUGUCAAGGGUUUAGAAUAGCGGUCUCGCUUAUGACCACAGUGGCCUCCGGCAAGCGUUACAUAGUCGAUUGGCUCCCGCUUCGUUUUUACCCAACAUGUGUCGAUUUCUUCAUCUCGAAGGGUUUUUAGAAUCCUCCAAUUGAUUUGAUAUUGAAUGUUCAUUUGUAAGGUAUAAUCACGAUAGUACAUCAUUGGCAGUGGUUUCAUUGUUCAUUCUAGGUUGCACAGGAUUUGUCAUGUUCCUUCAUGCCACCAAUUUCAUGUUCCACCCUUUCGCUCAUCAAAUUGCUAUUCAAUUUCUCAGGUACAUGAGAUGAGAAUAUUUCUUGGUGUUAUCAUCUCUUUGUAAUACUGAAUUGGUGUUGAAUUCAAAAGUUGAGAAGGGUAGGCGUGUAUAUGCUUAAUAGGGGUAGAAGAAGGAUUGGGGGUAGAAUACGAAGGUGCUAAGAAGAUAACCAAGGGUUUAUGGACCUGGAAGGGUUCUUGAUACCCCUAUUAUCGAGGCUGGGUUUGCCGGUAUUGGAGUUGGUUCUACAUAUCAUGGUCUGAAGCCAGUGAUAGAGUUUAUGACUUUCAACUUAUUUAUGCAGGCGAUUGACCAUGUUAUCAACUCUGCAGCAAAGUCAAACUACGUGUCUGCUGGGCAGAUUAAUGUACCCAUUGUUUUUAGAGGACCAAAUGGGCCCGCUGCGGGUGUUGGUGCUCAACAUUCCCAGGUUUGUUUGUUUUUUUAUUGACUCUCUGACUAUUUUUUCAUGAUUUCUCAUAUCUUCCAUGUUUGGUCCUGACAUGGGUUGGACCAUUUAACUAACGAUGGCUGUGGUGGUGGCAAUGUGGUUGACGGUGGCUGCAGUGGUGGCGAUGGUUGAAGGUGGUGGCGUUGGUUGACGGUGGCUGUGGUGUUGGCAUUAGUUGAUGAUGGUGGCGUUGGUUGACGGUAGCUAAGGUGGUGGCUUCGGUUGAUGGUGGUUGUUGCAGAGGCGAUGGUUGGUGCUAGGUACGUUGUUGGGAAUGGCUCUGGUGGUGACGAGUGUGGGCAGUCAUAAGCAAUUGGCAGUACGACCCAUAAGUUGUUUUCCCACAACCCAUCAUAACCUGUGGGAGUCUUCUAUCCUACGAAAUUUGAUCCAUGACAACCAUUCAUACUUUUUUGAUGCCCAACAUGCUAAAAUAAUGGUCCAGAAAAAACCCAAAACUAGGUAUGUGGUUAACUUUGUCGGGCCUAAUCCUGACAUGUAAUUUGAACAAUCAACCAAAUAAGGUAUGGCUGGGUAACGAUUCACAUGUUUCGGUCAAAACACGUUCUGGCCAAAAUGGGGUUCAGUCAUAGUGGGUUGUUUUAAUGAAGUAUCAGUUUUGUUUGGGUCAAAAUGGGUUCCAGAAUUAUUAUUUAGGUGUUGUUGUAUGGGGGACUAUUUGUUUGUUAACCCGUUGACUUCCGAAAGUCAACUCAUGUUAGUUUAUAGAAAUUACAACACAGUAACUCAACAUGCAUUUUCAUGACUGGUUUAUUUCAUAGGUUUCAUGAAGUACGCAUCCGUUGCUGCACAUACCGAUAAUAGGCAUUGUUACUGUCAUAAAGGUUAGUCGCUACACUUUUGAUUGCUAUCUAUAUAAUUUUAGGUGUUAAAAUGGGCGACCUAAGCAUUUUUUGGACGAUUUGAGUUGACUCAAAACACAUUUUGUUAAAAAAAGGUUAAAAUUUUGUAUUAAAUAGUUGAUGUGUGACGAGGUAUGGUACUGGACCCGACCCGAACGGUCGGACUUUUCUGCUAUUUAUCACUUUUAUAUUAAUUAUAUAUUAUUAUUAUUAUUGUGUACUAAUCCGCGAAGCCUAGCGCAUUGUAGUUUAUGCUACACUAGGCUGUGGGCUCGUAGAGACAACCCCUAACUGGGCCUGGCCCAUUGAGGUUAGGGUUUUCCCAUAUCUCCUAUAUAAGGAGGUCUCCACCUCCUCAUUAGGGCAUGAGAUAUAGGGCAACACUUUUGUAGCUGGAAAUAGGGGAUUCUUCCCCUACCGGCCGUCUCUACAUUGCCCACGUUUCUCUCUUCUUGUUUACAGGUCUAGGAUGAAGUGGAGAAGACGAGGUGUGGCCGUUCAUCACCGUAGAAGUACCGACCCGCUCGGGACCUGCUUCUUCAUUGGCGCCAUCCGUGGGACCGUUAGAUCACAACUCGUCUGCUUCUGUACUUCAUCUUUCAGAUCUGUCUUGUUUACAGGUCUAGGAUGAAGUGGAGAAGACGAGGUGUGGCCGUUCAUCACCGUAGAAGUACCGACCCGCUCGGGACCUGCUUCUUCAAUGUGUUUUGUUAAACCAGCUAACCGCAUGAAACCAGUAAAUUUGUUGUGACGUAAGAGGGUAAUUAAAAAUUUUAUUACAACUCCCAAUGCAUACAUCUUUAAUGGAUGUCGGAACGUGUUUAGACUGUAUUGAAAAGGAAAUGCGUUAGCCUUCAAGGUUCUCUAAACCUGGUAAAAAAAAACUGUACUAUAGUGUUCUGGAGGGUGCUGUAAGUCUCUCAGGAAUUGCUCGCAUAAUUACCUAGAUGUUGACAUUUGAAAUUGGACACUUCUAACAUGAUGAACGGCAUGCAUCGCGGUGGUGUUUUCAAGAAGUCAAAUGGUACAACAAAACUAAUUAUAACUAUAAUUAUGGGAAUUGGUGUUGGAUAUUUCAUAGGUGUUUCUUUUCCAUCUGUUUUUACUACCAAGGUUAUUUUACCAUCAAGCAUUUAUUCACAUUUUGAUAUGACAAUGCACGAGGAUCGAUCUAAAACUCUUGAACGCAAUUUCCAUGAAAAUCUUAGUUCGGGUAAUACACCCGAAACACCUAAGAUAUAUUUUCUUAGUAUAUGUAUCAACCUGAUUAACAUGCAUGUAUCCAAUACCAUGUUGUUUAUUUAUGCUUAUUGAAGUGCCACCUCAUUGUACUAGCAUCAAUUUUUAUUCCUAAUCAUAGUAAUUAUCCAUGCUAACCCGUUAGAUUUUUUACCCGAGUAGUAUGUAGAAUCUUCAAUCUGUUUGGCAAAUGAAGUGGGUCAAGUAAGGUAGGGCUGGGUAACGAUUCACAUGUUCCGGUCGAAACAUGUUCUGGCCAAAAUGGGGUUCAGUCAUAGUGGGUUGUUUUAAUGAAGUAU